UUCCUGUCAGUUUAGCACCUGCCUGGGGCCUUGUUUAAGGAUAAACUUGAGAACUUUCAGCGUUGACAGGGUCAACAGAAGCAAGCCUUUGGAAGGAUGCAAGACUGGGUGUGGCUAACCUAAAGUGUUGUGAAAACAGGAGUCUGGAGAGCGGGAGAGCAGUGGCCCAAGACCUCUCAAGGUACAUUUUAGCCAUCCUGAUCAACGAGUGGGUGGUGGCUGAUGAACCAGGCUGCUGUUAAUCCAGACCUGGGCUUGUUACCCUCUCUGUCCCUCCUGAUCCCUCACCGCCUCUACCAAAAGUAGAGAACCAUCAGAACCACCCCUGAGGACUCCAUAGCCUUCCCAACCAGGCUCCAAGCUCACUGCAGAGACAUCCAUGGGGACACACAAAGAAGCCACUCCUGCAUAUUCAGGAUACAUGCGAUGAUGUCCGAGGCCCGGCCACAGCAGGAGGAGAAAGGCAAACCACAUGGCUUCAGUCUCAGCAGAAGCAGAAGGGCUUCAGAGAUGGAGGUCCAGCUCCAAUAGCUACUCACUCAAGAGAGCUUGCCCGGUGUCUGCACACAGAGGAGGAGCCAGGUGACACCUGGUGAUUGGCAAGGGGGUGGCACCAUGGCUGCGUGACACAGGUGUUCCAACUGCUUGGAUUACCUUACCUAAACACAGGUAAUUUUUACAUCUUAUGACCCAAGCUUUGGGGAGAAUCUGAAAUGCUAAGGUGGCAGAGUACCAAGGAUCUGACCUUCCCAUUUUACAGACAAGGACACUAAGGCCCGGGAAGGCAAAGGAGACUUUGUGUUCACACAGUUUAAUGUGGAGAGCUGAGGUGACAAUGCUGGUCCCCCAGCUCCCAGUCCAGUGCUAUCCCAAUCAAAGUGAGAGAUAUUGUAAGAGUGGUCCCAUCAACUACAGCAGUGAGUGGGAGUGGGGGCCACUUCAGUUCCCUUGAAGAAGCUCUCUGCCUGGCAGAAAGAACGGUUACAGUUCUGACACAAAGCUGAGGGUUGAGGGAAAGUCAUUUCAAGGUUAAAGGAUAAAGAAUUUUUCCCUUAGUUCUUAUUUAAAAAAUGCAAAGAAUCGACUCUAUUGGGCAUUUGGAAAUGAUUGAAUGACUUGAUUUGAAAUUGGUUGUGUCUUUGGCCCAAGCAGGUUCUGAUCAAUCCUUGAAUGCAUCAGAGGCUCACUUUAAAAGGGAUAGUGGGUGCCUAAAACAGAAAAUAACUACUCCUAACCCCAACCUGUGACCUUCCACUGGAAGCUGGUGAAAAGACUCACCCUAAAUCUGGGCCACACCUUCUGGUGGCCGCCUGCAGAAAAGACCAUGGGUGAAGGGAGGUUUUGCCUUUUUUUUUUUUUUUUUUGCCUGCCUACCCUCCUUCUUGCUGGCAAGUUCAUCUAUCCUGCUCCUGCCCCUGCUCCAACAUCCUUUUUAUAUUAGAGCCCACUUUUGGGGGAUUCCAACACAGAGGGCAGACAAGCCAAGACAUUCAGCCUCAUGGCUGGGACAAUUCCAGAUUGUCAGCCUUUCCAUUUGGUGGCAACCAAUGUUGGACUGGCCAGACCAGAGCCUGCUAGUCAUUUUAAUAGAUCCCUUUUUAAUAUAUCUAUAAAUUUUGCCAGUUCUGUUUCUCUAGAGAACCCUAAUAUAGCACCCCAUUUCUCUCUGGCAUCUUUACUUAUGCUUUUUAAAAUUUAAUUUUAGCCGUCACCUUUUAGGGGCAUGGCAACACACAUGCAUGCCACCACACGCAUUCAGAAGCCAAAAGACUAGUUUUGAGAAUCAGCUCUCUCUCCUUCCACCAUGGGUCCUGAGGCUUGAACUCAGUUUGCCAGACUCACAUAGCAAGCACCCUACCCUCUGAGCAUCCUUACCUGCCCCUUCCUGCCUUUAUUAGACUUCUUGUGGCAACGACAAUCACAAGGUAAUAGACACACGGGUAGAGCAAAGGGCAACGUGCUGAGACUGAUGGGGUAGAAGGGUGGAAGGAGCCUGGAUUGCAAAGGGAUCACUAUGCAACCAAACCAGAGUUAUCAAUUGAUGCGCUUCCCCCCGGGGCUCUUGAAACAUUAGGGAAACAAACUUCCUUUGCCUGGCGUCUUGGUGGGGCUCCUGUGAUGUGUAGCUCGAAGCAUAAUGGUAUAAUAAUCUUUAAAAGUGCAGAGGCUGGGAUGGAAAACUGGCUCUCAGGGAGCCAGUGGCCAAGACGACUAUGAUCUAGUGAGAUCUGCUCUCUAAACUGACUAAUAAUAUAGAAGCGACUUCUCACCGCCCCAGAGGUCAAACGUCACACGCCAUGUGUCAGCAGGGCUCACUCCGUUAUUCUGGAUUUAUUCGCUUUUAGAAACCAAUUCCUUGGGAUUUUCUAUAUUACCAUGCUGUCUGCAAACAGAGAUCCAUUCCUUUCCUUUCCUAUCUUGUUAGAGUAGAUAGAGCUUGUUUCUCUGUGUUGAAUUAAAGUGCUGAGUGUGGACAUCCUUCCUCUAGUCCCAAUAUUAGGGAGAAAACAUGCAACUUAGGUAUAAUGUGGGCCACGGGCAUGCUACUCAUGUUCCAGUGAGCUAGCUCAUCGAUCCAGAUGAAUUACUUAACGCUGGACUCCUCAGGGCCUUGGGCUGUGAACAGUUACAUGGACGAGACCUUUUGCUUUGUUUUACCUUAUUGCUUUUCAAGAAGUGGUUACUCUGUGUAGCCCUGGCUAUCCUAGAACUCACUCUGUAGUCUGGGCUAGUCUUGAACUCACAUAGGCUGCCUCUGGAACACCACCAGUGCUGGGAUUAAAGGUGUGCACCACCACUGCCUGGCUAGAAGGGGAUUUUUUUUUUAUUUGCUUCUCUCAGAGGUCUAUGGGUGUCGUCGACUUUAACUCGAGGGUUUCCACAGAGCAGAAGCAAAGGCUUAGGUGUUGCUUGUCUAGAUGAUUUGAUUACCUCUUCACCCACCUGGUGGGGAUGCCACCCUUGAGAGGAGCUCAAGAGCCUAGGGGGAGGAAUAGAGAGAAAGAAAGUUGG